GUUUCGAUGCGAAGAAGAAUUUUAUUGUGUGGAUUCUGGCAGCUGUCAGUCCCAUUCUACUGACUGUGGUCAUUGCUUUAUGCUGCUGUUUCUGGAAAGCAAAAUGCCGGCAGUGGAAUGAUAGCCUUGUGUAUGAAAAUACUACAGCAAAAAAGAAAGAAUCUGUUGAACAGAAAAAAGAGAAAAG